rnacentral:rRNA from 1 species
AACGAACGCUGGCGGCAGGCCUAACACAUGCAAGUCGAGCGAAGCCUUCGGGCUUAGCGGCGGACGGGUGAGUAACGCGUGGGAACGUGCCCUUUGGUACGGAAUAGCCUCGGGAAACUGGGAGUAAUACCGUAUGUGCCCUUCGGGGGAAAGAUUUAUCGCCAAAGGAUCGGCCCGCGUUGGAUUAGGUAGUUGGUGGGGUAAUGGCCUACCAAGCCGACGAUCCAUAGCUGGUUUGAGAGGAUGAUCAGCCACACUGGGACUGAGACCCGGCCCAGACUCCUACGGGAGGCAGCAGUGGGGAAUCUUAGACAAUGGGGGAAACCCUGAUCUAGCCAUGCCGCGUGAUCGAUGAAGGCCUUAGGGUUGUAAAGAUCUUUCAGUGGGGAAGAUAAUGACUGUACCCACAGAAGAAGCCCCGGCUAACUCCGUGCCAGCCGCCGCCGUAACAC